rnacentral:rRNA from 1 species
GAAUAUUGGACAAUGGGCGAAAGCCUGAUCCAGCAAUGCCGCGUGAGUGAUGAAGGCCUUAGGGUUGUAACGCUCUUUUACCCGAGAUGAUAAUGACAGUACCUGUAGAAGAAACCCCGGCUCACUCCGUGCCAGCCGCCGCGGUAAUACGGAGGGGGUUAGCGUUGUUCGGAAUUACUGGGCGUAAAGCGCGCGUAGGCGGGCUGUUAAGUCGGGGGUGAAAUCCCGGGGCUCAACCCCGGAACUGCCCUCGAUACUGGCAGCCUAGAGUUCGAGAGAGGUGAGUGGAAUUCCGAGUGUAGAGGUGAAAUUCGUAGAUAUUCGGAGGAACACCAGUGGCGAAGGCGGCUCACUGGCUCGAUACUGACGCUGAGGUGCGAAAGCGUGGGGAGCAAACAGG